UACGUAGGUGGCAAGCGUUGUCCGGAAUUACUGGGUGUAAAGCGCGUGUAGGCGGCAGACCAAGUCGGCGGUGAAAGCGCCCGGCUCAACUGGGCGAGGUCCGUGGAAACUGGUCAGCUGGAGGACGGUAGAGGCGAGUGGAAUUCCCGGUGUAGUGGUGGAAUGCGUAGAGAUCGGGAGGAACACCAAUUGCGAAGGCAGCUCGCUGGGACGUCACUGACGCUGAGACGCGAAAGCGUGGGGAGCAAACAGG
rnacentral:rRNA from 1 species